ensembl:lncRNA
AUUGGUUUUAAUUUUCUUUGUAUAAGCUAUGUACCCCUGUGAGUUACUAGUCAUGGGAUAACCAGUAACUUAUCUUCUUUCAGAUGUUUUAUGCUACUGCUUCUGGGGAGUGCUGCUGUCACAUAAGGCCUUCUAUAGACAGAGUGAGCUGGAGAGCUCAUGGUAUCAGGUAUAAUGAAACAGAAAAUGAAACAACUCAGCCUUCAUAAGCAGACUGUAACACAAGAAGAGCUCAAAUGGAUUCUGAAUGAACAUCCAGUCAAAAUGCCUCCCUCCAAACUGUAUGUACUUCUCUUAUGAUUCCGCCAUCUUCGUAACUUUCACUUUCACCCUAUAUCUACUGUAAUUAGCAAC